AUACUUACCUGGCAGGGGAGAUACCAUGAUCACAAAGGUGGUUUUCCCAGGGCGAGGCUUAUCCAUUGCACUCCGGAUGUGCUGACCCCUGCGAUUUCCCCAAAUGCGGGAAACUCGACUGCAUAGUUUGUGGUAGUGGGGGACUGCGUUCGCGCUUUCCCCUG
rnacentral:snRNA from 1 species